rnacentral:rRNA from 1 species
GUGGGGAAUCUUGCGCAAUGGGCGAAAGCCUGACGAAGCCAUGCCGCGUGAAUGAUGAAGGUCUUAGGAUUGUAAAAUUCUUUCACCGGGGACGAUAAUGACGGUACCCGGAGAAGAAGCUCCGGCUAACUUCGUGCCAGCAGCCGCGGUAAUACGAAGGGGGCUAGCGUUGCUCGGAAUUACUGGGCGUAAAGGGCGCGUAGGCGGACAGCUUAGUCAGAGGUGAAAGCCCAGGGCUCAACCUUGGAAUUGCCUUUGAUACUGGCUGUCUUGAGUUUGGGAGAGGUGAGUGGAACUCCGAGUGUAGAGGUGAAAUUCGUAGAUAUUCGGAAGAACACCAGUGGCGAAGGCGACUCACUGGCCCAAUACUGACGCUGAGGCGCGAAAGCGUCGGGAGCAAACAGGAUCAGAUACCCUGGUAGUCC